rnacentral:piRNA from 1 species
UAAAAUUAAUAUACCUCUAAA